UUUGGUAAAACCAAAAAUAGACGCGUGUGUCGAUGCGCUACACAUCUUCAAGAUAAGUGAAAAUGUCUUCUGUCUACAUUUGACGAGGGAAUUUGUGUGUGAAUAGGCUGGCUAGACACGGAUACGUCUCUGAAUCAUGCUAAUUAUUUUCUUCAACGAGGAUAAACUGGAAGCAUAUCGAAGAUGUUGGUGAGAAUUAGUUGAGAUAAAUUCACUGCCAAUUCUUCGAAGCAACACAAUGCAAUAACAGUGGCUAGAAUUUCACU
rnacentral:lncRNA from 1 species